ACUCCUACGGGAGGCAGCAGUGGGGAAUAUUGCACAAUGGGCGCAAGCCUGAUGCAGCCAUGCCGCGUGUAUGAAGAAGGCCUUCGGGUUGUAAAGUACUUUCAGCAGUGAGGAAGGUGGGUAUGUUAAUAGCAUACUCAUUUGACGUUAGCUGCAGAAGAAGCACCGGCUAACUCCGUGCCAGCAGCCGCGGUAAUACGGAGGGUGCGAGCGUUAAUCGGAAUUACUGGGCGUAAAGCGCAUGCAGGUGGUUUGUUAAGUCAGAUGUGAAAGCCCGGGGCUCAACCUCGGAAUUGCAUUUGAAACUGGCAAACUAGAGUACUGUAGAGGGGGGGUAGAAUUUGAGGUGUAGCGGUGAAAUGCGUAGAGAUCUGAAGGAAUACCGGUGGCGAAGGCGGCCCCCUGGACAGAUACUGACACUCAGAUGCGAAAGCGGUGGGGAGCAAACAGGAUUAGAUACCCUGGUAGCUCUGC
rnacentral:rRNA from 1 species